ACCAGUAUAAAUAAACAUACACGUUCGCGGGCGAGCAGAAUAUAGUACAGCAUCGAGCGAAUGUACACAGAAAUCAUCAGCACUAACGGGUAUCUCCGCAAUACUUGUAUAUUGUGUACGUAGAGCUAUUUAAGGAGCAGAAAUACAUAUAACAAGCUGUGACAGCAAUAACUGCUUUUAUCAUUUCGCACUAUCCUUAACGUGUUAAACCUCUACAUUGGUGACCCUGACGUGAUCGUCGUGACAGGCGUGAUCGUCGUGAUAGGCGUGAUCGACGUGAUAUAAGUGAAAGAGGUGACUGUGAUAGUGCCGCUGAUAGACCAAUCACUUUUUUUUGUGUGUGUGCCUAAGCAUGACGAGCAAUCCCGCCAUUGCAGCCCAUUCGCUGGUCCGCGUGCCUCCGAUAAUGCCUAAGAACAUGAGACUCUGGUUCAGCAUACUGGAAGAGCAAAUGAAGGCAGUGGAUAUAACAGACGAUCGGGCGAAGUGUAGAGCCCUCGUCGGCUGCCACGAGCCGCAAUACCUAGAGCAAAUCGGGGAUGUGUAUUUGUCCCUACCAGCCGUCGGGCGGUAGGCCGACAAGCCUCAAGGCCGAACUAACGCGCGCCCUUGAGGAAUCGAAUGACGAGAAAUUCAGAAGGUUGAUGGAAAAGGAAGAGAUCGGCGACAGGAAACCUUCGAAAUUUUAUCAUGAUUUCAAAAGACUUGCCGGUCCUCUUGCGUCAGCCAAGUUUAUCCUCACUCUGUGGAAGAAUCGCCUACCAACGCGGAUCAGGUGCUUUCUGGCUGGAGUCGACGGCGACGACGUAGCUAGGAUGUUGCGGAUAGCUGACGAGGUACACGAGGAUCUCAGAGGGCGACCGGCACGCACCUCGUUUGGCGAUCGUUGUCGAGCAGCCGGCACAACCCGAGACAACAAGCGAACCCUGACUUUCCGUCGUCAACGCCCUGAGCGAACAAAUAUCUCAACUGCGAGCGGAAAUGCGCACGUCGAAGCGCGAGCUUCGUCCUAGGCUGCGACCCGAAGCGGGAAGGCGUAACCGGCCGAGAUCAAGAGAAAGACCGAGAGAGAGAUCGGGAAACCUCGACUUCUGCUACUACCAUCGAACGUUCGGAGACCGGGCGUACAAGUGCCAGUCUCCGUGCAAAUGGAUGCAGGGAAACGGGGCCCGCCGUCCGUAAAAGCGGCAGACGACGACGGCAUGGGCUCCCGCCGCAUUUUUGUCACCGACAAGGCGACGCUGACGUCCUUUCUCGUGGAUACUGGGGCCGACAUAAGCGUGUAUCCCCGCAGCAAAAUACACCCACCAACCAACGAACAGAUGCGAAUACGAACUGUUCGCGGCCAAUGGGACGCGGAUCCCGACGUACGGCACCAUCGCCGUCACCCUCAACCUGUCCCUCAGAAGUGCAUUCACAUGGCGAUUUGUGAUAGCCAACGUCCAAUCACCCAUCAUCGGUGUGGACUUUUUGAGCCACUAUGGGUUGCUCGUGGACCCGCGAAACAAGCUCUCAUCGACACGAGGACUCAAUUGACAGCAAGAGGAUACACCGGCACGACGGAUGGAGCGUCCGUAAGAAAUAUAGUCGGUGAAUCAGUGUAUCAUCGACUUUUGAUGGAGUUUCCCGACCUAACUCGUCCAUCUAUUUUCGGGCGUGAGAAGAUACGUCACGGGGUAGUACACCACAUCGAAACCACACCUGGCUCACCAGUCUACAGUAAACCCCGUCGCCUGGCCCCCGAUCGCCUCAAAGAAGUCAAGAUGGAAGGAGCAUACGACUGCCGGCGGAAUUUUUUUUACCAACAAGACAGCAGGCCACAGCGGAAUACGCGAACCGGCUUAAAAAACGAAUGGAAAAGGUCAGGCCGCAACCGGGCACGCGUCAUGGCGAAAGGAAAAUUUUCAUUUUCAAAGAAUUGGAUUCCUCGCCUUACGUUUUCUUACGCCACGACGCGACGGGUGGCCCUUUACAGCCUCAAUUCGAUGGACUCUUCAAAGUUAUAAAAAGGGACAAAAAAACUACGUUAUAAAAAUAAACAAUCGCGACGAGCAGUUUCCAUCGACCGUCUAAAACUCGCGUUCAUUGUUCCGGAUGAUUUAGAAGAUAGAGGCGUCGAAUCUCGUAACAUAUUGAUCUCCGUAGAUCAAACGAACAGCCGCGAUGGAAACGGCACAAACAGCAACGAUCAAACCAGGGAAGAAAACACCAGGGACAGGUACGUAGAAGAUGCUUACAAACUCUUGGGAUCACUUCAUUACUUAC